AACAUGUACAUGUAUAAGUGUAAGUGCAGUAAUUGAACGUCCAUUAGAGUGUUUCAAAAUAUUGGACGUCGAUUUGAGAAAGUGACGUCAGAUUUGGACGUCGAUUUGAGGACCGGACGUCAAUUAGGGACCGGACGUCGAUUAGGGACUGGACGUCGAUCUGAGUCUAACAUAUAUAAAACGAGAAACACUUAUAAACCACACUUUAAAGCGACAACCAGCGAAAAAACAGGCUCCUUAUUUAAAACCGGUGAAUACAAAUGCAGCAGGUUUAAAUGUUUUAACAGGCACCAACAUUUAAAAACUCCGGAACAGUCGUGUAGCAUUAUACAUAAAAAGACACGUUAUAGAAUAUUAAUUGAAAUGACAUCGAAAACAUAUUCAAACAAAAACAAGUACACAAACGCUGAACGAAUAAGUUUGAUCUUUGAUACGAUAUAAAUACAAUAUCAUUAAAAAAAGAUGUAGGAAUAAUUCCAAACAAACGCCAAUAACCUGGUACAAAAUGGCGUUAAAUAAAAGAAAAUAUGCAGGUAAAUCUUAAUAUAUGAUUACAUUGUUACGGAAG
rnacentral:lncRNA from 1 species